GUACCUUGUUCCAGCGCUCAUGACCUCGGUCACUCAAGAUGACCUCAGGAGAACCAUGUGUGUUGCAGAUGUCCACCAUCGCCUUGGAGGUGGCCUUGCCAGUCUCGUCCUUGAUAGGUAUCAUACAAAACGAAAAUAUAUUUAUUUGUUCCAACCACCCUUUUUAAUGGGUUACAGAAGGGAAUUCCGAGUUAAGAACAUACUCUUCCUUUACUGAUCUUAAUGGGUAUUGCCUCCACCCACUUGGUAAAGUGAUCGGUCACCGUCAGACACCAGCUGUUGCCAUUCCUGGAUUUCGUGAAGGGUCCGAUGAGGUCCACCCAUAACAUUUUAAGUUUUAGAGAGAAGAUUACUUUAUUCUUACCGUAUCUGUGUCAUACAGUAUGCAGCUUUUCAUAUUUGCAAGGAUACUGACACACACAUACACAUUCUAUAAUAUUGAACUCUCCUGUCAAAUAAAGCAAACAUUACAAACCAACUUAUCAGGGCAAAAUUUGAAUUGGGACACUUACCGAUCAUGUGCCAUGGUGAAACAACUUUGAUGGGCUUCAACUCCGGCGCCACAGUCUUCGCCCUCUCAAACUUCUGGCAGGCUACACAGUGUACUGAUCUUUAAGCAAAAAAGUGACAAAUUGAAACAUUGUUUGCACUCUGAUAUGACAUUCAUUGAAAUCAUAUAUAUAUAUAUAUAUAUAUAUAUAUAUAUAUACACACACAUAUACAUACACUUAUUUAAAUUCACCUUCAUUUAACAAGGUGGGCUAGUUGAGAACAAGUUCUCAUUUACAACUGCGACCUGGCCAAGAUAAAGCAAAGCAGUUCGACACAUACAACAGAGUUACACAUGGAAUAAACAAAAAUACAGUCAAUAAUACAGUAGAAAAAGUCUAUAUACAGUGUGUGCAAAUGAGGUAAGGGAGGUAAGGCAAUAAAUAGGCCAUGGUGGCGAAGUAAUUACAAUAUAGCAAUUAAACACUGGAGUGAUAGAUGUGCAAAAGAUGAAUGUGCAAGUAGAGAUACUGGGGUGCAAAGGAGCAAGAUAAAUAAAUAAAUAAAUACAGUAUGAUAUUGGGCUAUGCUGUGCUAUUUACAGAUGGGCUAUGUACAGGUGCAGUGAUCUGUGAGCUGCUCUGACAGCUGGUGCUUAAAGCUAGUGAGGGAGAUGAGUCUCCAGCUUCAGUGAUUUUUGCAGUUCGUUCCAGUCAUUGGCAGCAGAGAACUGGAAAGAAAGGCGGCCAACGGAGGAAUUGGCUUUGGAGGUGACCAGUGAAAUAUACCUGCUGGAGAGUGUGCUACGGGUGGGUGCUGCUAUGGUGACCAGUGAGCUGAGAUAAGGCGGGGCUUUACCUAGCAAAGACUUGUAGAUGACCUGUAGCCAGUGGGUUUGGCGACGAGUAUGAAGCAAGGGCCAGCCAACGAGAGCGUACAGGUCGCAGUGGUGGGUAGUAUAUGGGGCUUUGGUGACAAAAUGGAUGGCACUGUGAUAGACCGCAUCCAGUUUGUUGAAUAGAGUGUUGGAGGCUAUCUUGUAAAUGUCAUCGCCGAAAUCGAGGAUGGAUAGGAUGGUCAGUUUUACAAGGGUAUGUUUGGCAGCAUGAAUGAAGGAUGCUUUGUUGCAAAAUAGGAAGCCAAUUUUAGAUUUAAUUUUGAAUUGGAGAUGCUUAAUGUGAGUCUGGAAGGAGAGUUUACAGUCUAACCAGACACCUAGGUAUUUGUAGUUGUCCACAUAUUCUAAGUCAGAACCGUCCAGAGUAGUGAUGCUGGACGGGCGGGCAGGUGCGGGCAGCGAUCGGUUGAAGAGUAUGCAUUUAGUUUUACUUGCAUUUAAGAGCAGUUGGAGGCCACGGAAGGAGAGUUGUAUGGCAUUGAAGCUCGUCUGGAGGUUAGAUAACAGUGUCCAAAGAAGAGCCAGAAGUAUACAGAAUGGUGUCAUCUGCCUGUCCACCUUCUUGACAAUUCCCCGUCAGAAGAAGCGUAGGUUGAUUUUGGCAAUCAUGCGCUUCACUGCGAAAUGGCCAGCAUGCAUCUCGGUCAGCACGGCCUCCUCUCCUCCUUAGUAGAAAUCACCGUCCUGUGUGUCUGGCCAUCCUUCCCCCGUAGGUAGAUAUGAUUGCCUAACAAGUUGGAAGAGAAGAGUUGUUGAAAUACUCAAGCCUUAGUACAUUUGCACUGUCUUUCUCGCCCCCUCUGUCUGUCUGUCUUCCCACCUUUCUCACUUUCUUCCCACUCCCUCCCUCUCUAGCGAAGACACCUAUUUAAGGGAAUUUGCAAUUACCAUAAUUGCUUACACCUAUCCAUUUGAUUGAUCAGGUUUAACUUAUAGCUAGACACCUCAAUAUGACAGACAUAUAACUCCCCUCAGCAGCCUCCACUGAACUAUAUGUAUAGCUAGCAACUAG
rnacentral:lncRNA from 1 species